UUUUUUUAUUUCCAGAUGUUGUGGUGUAGCUGAGUACCUGUGUCAUUUUAAGGUCUCAUUGGAAACAUCAGCUCACAGUCAACCUGCUGCUGCCCUUCCUUUGACACAACACGGAUGUUUCAUUUAUCCUGGAGCUACCCUUACUUGCCUGUUUAAUUGAUGGAGUGUUUGCUGUUGACUUUGAUAAGAAAGGUGUUUGUGUGUCUGUCCCUGUCCGGUAUGUGGGUCCUUCCGCCCGCGGCUGCUCCAGGAUCGAUGCACUCGCUGCCUUGGCUGGAAUCUCUUCUGGAAGCAAAGAUGGUUGUGACUCGAGCAUGGCUGCUGAAAUUUUAGUAGGUAUUCAUACUCUUCAGCAAGUUAAUAUUAAUUAAAAAUACCCUUGUUUUUCCUCUGCACUAAAAAAAAAAAAUGUAUUUCUGCAAUACUUUUAGAAACUAUUUUGGUCUUGUUCUUCGUAUGAACAAGGGCUUUCUCAGUAUCACUUUUUAGAUUAAAACCAUUGUUCAUCACUCAGUUAAACACAAAAACAGUUGACCCUUUUAAACCUAGCAAGCUCAAAAUUAUUAUGACAACACCUUUUCUUUCAUUUUUAAAAAGCAAUAUAUUUCUAGUUUUGAUCAUAUUUAUGUAGAAAAUGGUAACCUUUUUUUUUAAAUAAGGCAGUCAUUUCAACAAUAAAUGAUCAAAAUACGUAAAAAGCUGAGGAAGGAAGGAACUAGCAUUAUUUAAAAUAUUUUAUAAGAUAAUAAAUGCAAUUCCUAAAGUGAAGCAGCUGACUCAAUACCAAUUCAGUCAAGUUAAACAUUAGCUGGUGGAAAUAUUUCCUUUACAAACUACACCCUUUUCUUCCUCUCGUUCCUCUCCCUACGAGCCGAUUAUCCUUUAUUUCUGGACACCGGGCGACACAAUGGAAAGAAAGCGAGCCCUGAGCAUCCAGGCAGAAAACCCGUCCUUGUAGCAGAGCCAGGAGGCAGCCGGGAUUCCCGCGCCGCACAAUGCCGGGCGCCAGCGCCGCACUGCGCCGGGUAAUGAACGCCAAGUGGCCGCCUUUCACGUCUCAAGAGCCCAAACCGGCUGGAUGCUGAACACCGCUGCUCCCAGCUCCAGCCUCCCAGUGACUCUUUCACCCAACAAUAACACUGAGAAAGGCACAAAAGCCGCUGCUUCUGCAGGCGCUUUGCGAUGCAAACCGGCCAAAUAUGUUGGGGUCAGUAGGACCGCAUUGCUCUUUGUUGGCAACUUCAGUAGAGUCAAGGGGUGGGCGCUGGCAAGGACAGUAAAAUUUAACAAAUCGCAUUUUCAGAAAGUGCAGGGGAAGGUUAUUUUUUAUAAAAAAUCAUCCCGCAAAUCUGCAAUCUGGUUAAGGUUUGCAACAAAGCAAACAGUAAUUCUGGAAACGUAGAGGCCUCUAUCUGUACGGCACAGGUGAUUUUGCAACUUUGCUUCUGACUUACCUGAAAAGAAUUCCUCUCCCCCGGUUCCUGAUAAGGAACUCACCCCUUCAAAUUCCCCACGCAGCGCAGUGAGCCGGGGAGGACAAUGUGGCGCUCCCACAGUUUCCUACACUUAAGCUUUCAUCUGUGAAAAAUCCUUUUUAUUAAAGGCAAACUGCAGUAUAAUUGAGCUAAAUCUCCAGCCUCUGUUGGAGGUAGCAAUGCCACGCACAGUUCAUUGCAAUGCCUGCUGUCCAAGGGAUUUUUUAUGAGAUCAUAUUUCACGAGGAAAUAAAUUUCCUCCUCCGGUCUGAUGCAAUCAGUUUACCAAGUGGUAAAUAGCUAUGGAUAUCUCCUGCGCUGCUUUGCAAAGUGUUUGCGGAUAUUCUAGGAUGAAAGUUGCCAAAGAUAAAAAUCUUAAUCACUGAAAUCUGGAGAGCGAUUGGGAAAAUGACCCCACGAGGAUGUCGGGGCAGGUUUCCUGGGGGAAGCCCAGGCAUCUCCUGCAGACCUUCAGCACCACCAUGACCCCCAGGAAACUAUUUAUCCAACAGCCCAUUCCCAGCACAGCCCUGCUUCGAUGGCAGCCCCCGAGUCUUCUCCUUGCAAGUCCCAAGACACUGACUUUAGUUUAUUCAUCCUAAAUUGCAGCUAUGGAACCUGGCAUAAAAACUUUUGGUGUAAGUACAUUCAUUUCACUGCUCUUUCAAGAAGCAGAGGAAGAGAAUAUCUUCCCAAAUAGAUAUUCUUCUCCCUUGACCUACAUGAAUUUUCAUUGAAAACAAUAGAUGGGCACUGCCUUGUGCUGUAAAAAUCAGUGAGCUGCAUUUUCAGGGAGCUGUUUUUGGAAAGGCAUUUGGGUAAAGUGCUCUAGGGAUGGCCCAGCUGGUCCAUGGGCACUCUCUGAUCCAUGGAAGGGGCAUUACAUGCCCUAUAGAGACGUUACUGUUAUUUCACCAUAAAAAUCAUGCCCACAACUAGCAAGCAAUGUAACAAGUGUAGUCUUUGUGCCACAUUCAGUCCUGAAGCCAAACUAAACAAGUUCAAAGAAAUGUGAAGUCAUGCUGGUUCCCAUCAAAGCUUUUUCCUAAGAUCUACUAGUUUUCCCCAGACAAGAAGGCAGAGACAGCUGGAUUGCCAGGAAGAUCACUUGCUUCUGGCACCUUCGUCUUGAAUAAAUCCUGUGGAUCUCCACUCUGGGAGAAGCAGGAAACUCAAAACUUCAAGCUAAAACUGGAAACUUGUUAUUUUGGGGGUUGGAUUUGGGUACAUCACUCCCAAAAUAAGACAGGAGGCCUGGAAAUUCUAAAAUGUGGACCAGCAACUGAGGAAAUUCUGCCAAAACUUUGGCCAUCAGCUCCUGCCCUAUGGCCCAUGGACAACCCUCCUUCCACCCACACACCAGAGAGCAGCUCUCAGCACCACCUGAACUUCUUUUGAGAGUGGGCAAUUGCUACACACUUGGAUUUUGAAAAGACAUUUCACUGCCAGCUCCUGGAAGCAAUACAGGAGGUGUCAAACUUGUAACCUUCAUCACUAUACCACAUCUAGGUUCAUCACAAAGGCCAAUAUUUUGCCUUUCUUUUCCCCCUUUCUUUUUGAUAAUCACUCUUUCCUCACAUCUCAAUGUUUUUGCAGUAAAAAAAAUGUGUAAAAAUCACA